CCGGACCAGUGUCCAAGGUCCGUUCCCACUUCCGCAUGCGUCGCUGGCAACGGCGGGGUGUGAAGCCGGAAGCGUAAGCCCAAGAGCGG
rfam:Streptomyces ipomoeae 91-03 gcontig_1108499729139, whole genome shotgun sequence.